AUUGAACGCUGGCGGCAGGCCUAACACAUGCAAGUCGAGCGAGCGGCGGACGGGCGAGUAAUGUCUGGGAAACUGCCUGAUGGAGGGGGAUAACUACUGGAAAAGGUAGCUAAUACCGCAUACCAUCAGAUGUGCCCAGAUGGGAUUAGCGAGUAGUGGGGGUAAUGGCUCACCUAGGCGACGAUCCCUAGCUGGUCGGAGAGGUUGACCAGCCACACUGGAACUUGGACACGGUCCCGACUACUACGGGAGGCAGCAGUGGGGAAUAUUGCACAAUGGGCGCAAGCCUGAUGCAGCCAUGCCGCGUGUAUGAAGAAGGCCUUCGGGUUGUAAAGUACUUUCAGCGAGGAGGCGUUACUCGCAGAAGAAGCACCGGCUAACUCCGUGCCAGCAGCCGCGGUAAUAC
rnacentral:rRNA from 1 species